rnacentral:rRNA from 1 species
AUUGAACGCUGGCGGCAUGCCUUACACAUGCAAGUCGAACGGCAGCACGGGAGCAAUCCUGGUGGCGAGUGGCGAACGGGUGAGUAAUAUAUCGGAACGUGCCCAGUCGUGGGGGAUAACGCAGCGAAAGCUGUGCUAAUACCGCAUACGAUCUAAGGAUGAAAGCGGGGGAUCGCAAGACCUCGCGCGAUUGGAGCGGCCGAUAUCAGAUUAGCUAGUUGGUGGGGUAAAGGCCCACCAAGGCGACGAUCUGUAGCUGGUCUGAGAGGACGACCAGCCAAACUGGAACUGAGACACGGUCCAGACUCCUACGGGAGGCAGCAGUGGGGAAUUUUGGACAAUGGGCGCAAGCCUGAUCCAGCAAUGCCGCGUGCAGGAUGAAGGCCUUCGGGUUGUAAACUGCUUUUGUACGGAACGAAACGGCCCUUUCUAAUACAGGGGGCUAAUGACGGUACCGUAAGAAUAAGCACCGGCUAACUACGUGCCAGCAGCCGCAGUAAAAC